rnacentral:lncRNA from 1 species
GCUCAUGAAUUUGGGUACGAUGUUCGUCGGAUUUUCUUCGAUACUAAACUUCAAUAAGCAGAGAUAUAUAUUUUGCAAAAUUACGAGGAGGUUGACCCAUAGUAUCCAUUACAAUCUCAACUUUUUAAUCACUUAUUUCAGUAUACUUAUCUUAUACAUAUUUAGGCAAUAUGAUGAGAUGUUGAAAUGAGAUAACUCGAGGAUAAGUGAUGAAGAAAUAUCCACAUGAUGCUCAUAAAACUUUGCAUAUUGAUUCCAUUAAUUGG